rnacentral:rRNA from 1 species
GAUGAACGCUGGCGGCGUGCUUAACACAUGCAAGUCGAACGGAAAGACCCUGCGUUUGUGGGGUGCUCGAGUGGCGAACGGGUGAGUAACACGUGAGUAACCUGCACCUGUCUUAGGGAUAACAUCACGAAACUGGGGCUAUUACCGGAUAGGAGCUCCUGCUGCAUGGUGUGCGUUGGAAAGUGUCGGCGGUUCUGGAUCGACUCGCUGCUUAUCAGCUUGUUGGUGGGGUAGUGGCUUACCAAGGGUAUGAAGGCUAGGCGGCCUGAGAGGGUGACCGGCCACCUGGGGACUGAGGGACGGACCAGACGCCUACCGGAGGCAGCAGUGGAGAGUAUUACACAGUGAGGCGAAGCCUGAUACAGCGACGUCGCGUUCGGGAUGACCGGUUUCGAGUGGUAAACAAAUUUGUCAGGAGACGAAGCGGGAGUGACGGUAAUGGGUAAAGAAGCACCGGCUAACUACGUG